rnacentral:ncRNA from 19 species
AGGGGAAGCCGGUGCGAAACCGGCGCUGACCCGCAACCGUGAGCGCGGCCGCCAUGGCCGUGCGAGCCGGAGCACCC